rnacentral:rRNA from 1 species
GGUGGUGUGCCAGGAAUCUUAGUUGUGCUAAGCUUGCUCAGUGCAGCUCUGGUUUCGGGCCACUUUCAUAAUCCCGCCGCGGUGCUCUUAAUCGAGUGUCGAGGCGGGCCGGCACGUUUACUUUGAACAAAUUAGAGUGCUUCAAGCAGGCUUGUCACGCCUGUAUACUGUGUGCAUGGAAUAAUGGAAUAGGACCUCGGUUCUAUUUUGUUGGUUUCCGGAAUCUGAGGUAAUGAUCAAUGGGGACAGGCGGGGGCAUUCGUAUUGCGACGUUAGAGGUGAAAUUCUUGGAUCGUCGCAAGACGGACCGAAGCGAAAGCAUUUGCCAAGUAUGUUCCCGUCGAUCAAGAACGAAAGUUAGAGGUUCGAAGGCGAUCAGAUACCGCCCUAGUUCUAACCAUAAACAAUGCCUGCCAGCGAUCCGCCGGCGUCCCUCCGAUGACCCGGCGGGCAGCUUCCGGGAAACCAGAGCUUUUGGGUUCCGGGGGAAGUAUGGUUGCAAAGCUGAAACUUAAAGGAAUUGACGGAAGGGCACCACCAGGAGUGGAGCCUGCGGCUUAAUUUGACUCAACACGGGAAAACUCACCAGGCCCGGACACCGGAAGGAUUGACAGAUUGAUAGCUCUUUCUUGAUUCGGUGGGUGGUGGUGCAUGGCCGUUCUUAGUUGGUGGAGCGAUUUGUCUGGUUAAUUCCGAUAACGAACGAGACUCUAGCCUACUAACUAGACGUAUCUGGUAUCAGCAAUCGUGCUACCAGCGAUCAUAUCUCUUCUUAGAGGGACAGGCGGCUUCUAGCCGCACGAGACUGAGCAAUAACAGGUCUGUGAUGCCCUUAGAUGUCCUGGGCCGCACGCGCGCUACACUGAAGGAAUCAGCGUGUCUUCCCUGUCCGAAAGGACCGGGUAACCCGCUGAACCUCCUUCGUGCUUGGGAUUGGGGCUUGCAAUUGUUCCCCAUGAACGAGGAAUUCCCAGUAAGCGCGAGUCAUAAGCUCGCGUUGAUUACGUCCCUGCCCUUUGUACACACCGCCCGUCGCUACUACCGAUUGAAUGAUUUAGUGAGGUCUUCGGACCGGUGCGCGGAGGCGGUUUACCGCUCCCGAUGUUGUCGGAAAGAUGACCAAACUUGAUCAUU